GUUAAACUAUUCUACAUUCUACUUUUAUCUGGAUAUGGAGUAAAGGUUAAACUAUUCUACAUUCUACUUUUAUCUGGAUUUGGAGUAAAGGUUAAACUAUUCUACUUUCUACUUUUAUCUGGAUAUGGAGUAAAGGUUAAACUAUUCUACUUUCUACUUUUAUCUGGAUAUGGAGUAAAGGUUAAACUAUUCUACUUUCUACUUUUAUCUGGAUAUGGAGUAAAGGUUAAACUAUUCUACUUUCUACUUUUAUCUGGAUAUGGAGUAAAGGUUAAACUAUUCUACCUUCU